ACGCGAAACUACACGCGCGCCGGUAAAAACCCACAGAAGAAGAAACAAGACGCGCAAAACUUUUGUUUUUAUAUAUAGACUUCAGACAGAAAUUAGUGCUGCAAACCGUUUGCGCGAUGCAAAGCCGCAAAAGAAAAAAAUUAUAGAGAUGUGAUGUGGAGAGGUGGAUCAGCACCACACGCGGACAGCAGGGAUUAAAGAUUUGAGAAUAGGACAGGCUUCGCAAAACAUGAUUUGGAGAGCGUUUGUCUUUGACCCUGCGAUUCUAUGCAACAGGUGACACGUUCAAGUUCAUCAGGUUCAAGUCCAGGAUGGGAGACCAGCACCAUCUCACAAAUAGUUUUGGAUGUUCUGCUCUGUACCAGGUUAUAAAGGACGAUUUCUUGAAGACACCAUCAACGUAAGGAGAGUGGCAUACCAUAGUCAUGGACUUCGAAAGGAAGUGGCAGUUUCCACAUUGCUUUGGGGUACUUGCUACCACUCCAGCUGUAGCAGACUGCUGACCACAACAUGGAUGAUGUGCAGUGGAAGAUUCACGGGAUGUGUGCUUUUCAACCGAUGAAAUACACCUCACAUCGCAAUUGUAUGGCAAUAGCAAAAGUGCAACGCAAUCUGAUGCGGGACAACUUUGCCUCACCAGCGGGUAGUGUUUAUUGGCAAGUUCAUCACAUUUUAAAAGGAACUGAUGUAGAGUUAUCCCUGCAAACAGCAGAUUAAAGCCAGUUAUUGUCAGUUUAGGACAUUCGUUUUCUUGUGUGUUCUAAAGUCCUGUAUUUGUAAAGAACACACAUGUGGUUCACUUAUUCAUUGUUUUAAGUAUUCUGUUUAUUGUUGUGUUAUUAUUGAAUACAUUUUAAUUGCAUACAAAUCAAAAGGUGCAGGAAUGUAAUAAAGGUAAUCUGCAUGUUGCAAUUAAGUGCCUUAUACUAACUUUAUUUCUUGAUCCACACUCAUUAUUCACAGAACAUUAACAAUGUUUCUAUACUAGGGCGAUUAAACAUCAACAUAUCUGAUCAUGAUAAAAUUUAUGGCGAUUGUGAUGAUAAGCUCUGGGCAUUUUUACUCAAUGUGGAUUAAUAUAACAGCCAAUCACACACAAUUAUAUUACGAUAUUUAUAUAUCACCCAACCCUUAAAGGAGCUCUACACGGGGAGUUUUGUAAUGUUUAAUUGUGUUAAUGUGGCGCACUGCAUGUGUUCUAACAAUGUAUAUUUUGUCUGUUCACAUAAUACCCAGAUAGCACACGUACGUCGCGGAGAUGUCUGCGCGAUGUCUUGUUUUUCGUCUGGAAGACGUAUUAUUUAGGGCGUUUGCUCAUCUGGAAGGCGUCGCCGAGACGUCCGACCCAGCUGUUUGCAAGACACCCAGCAGAUCUUUACAAGAUGUAUGUUAUUUAGAACGAUGGCGAGCCGCCGUUUCCCAGAUCUUUACAAGAUGUUAGAACGGCAAGCCGCUCUUUCACAGAUCUUUAGAAGAGCUUUAAAAGAUACGGAGCCGCUCUUUCCCAGAUCUUAAGAAGAGCUUUAAAAGAUGCGGAGCCGCUCUUUCCCAGAUCUUUAGAAGAGCUUAGAAAGACGGUAAGCCGCUCUUUCCCAGAUGUUUGUAAGAUUACAAGAUCCCUCAUUAACAAAUUGAAUUGCCCUAAACUACAGCAAA